AAAUCAAAACCUUAUUGAAACGAUAACGAUAAGCAUAUGUACAAAUCAAUAAUCGAUAAGUAAUUAUCGAUAAGAGUCAAAAUCGAAUUGAUAAAACGAAUGCACACCCCUACUUAAAAUAAAUGAACCCUAGUCAUGGUUUAACACAAUACAUUGCAGCAGUUCAGCUCAUAGCCAUAUUCCAACAGUAAUUAAAUAACACAUAGUUUGACAAAAAACCAAACAAUAGUCACAACACUGAAAACUUGACAGAGUAAACAAGUACUUUCAUCACUCAAACAAGAACUGAAAUUUACAUUAUUUGAUCAAGGGUAAUACCUUAGUAGUAGCAAGAAGCAAAGAAAUAGAAAAUAAGUGUUUGAACUUGAGAAAGAGUAAAGCAACAAAAAAAGCAGCAACAGAAAACCAACAAGAGCAAAGAACCAACAACAAAAGAAGCUAAAGAAAACCCAACUUUAAGAAACCCCAUAAAGUUUUUCUACUCAGAAAUGAAGAUGAGUGGCAUGGAAUUUUUGAAAAUCUAGCCAAUUUGGUAAAAGUCAUUCUCCAAAAUGAAGAAAAAGAAUAAAUUUUCAUAAUGUACUUCGUGUGUCCAAAAUCUGUCCUUUUUGUAAGAGGGUCAAGAGUCUUAUAUAGAAUAUGCUCAAUUUCACAUGUGCACAAGCUAAGAAAGGAAUUAUUUUUUAGCAAAACACGCUUGAAUUUCCUGGGGGGAAAAGCAUCUUUUUAACAGAUUUUAUACAGUUGACUCUUGGAUAUUUUCUAUUUUAAUAUCUUAUCUCAAGCAAUUGGGACAGUUGUUCAUCACUCGACGUUUCCAAGCAUUUACUAAAGAUUCUUUCAAGUUAGAACCCUCAAAUUAACCGUUUAGUAUUUUUAAAAUUGCCUCAGAACCAAACCUGAUUCUAGGCUUGAGUCGUGUGACUCUGAUCCAAAGACCCUCCACCCCCCNNNNNNNNNNNNNNNNNNNNNNNNNNNNNNNNNNNNNNNNNNNNNNNNNNNNNNNNNNNNNNNNNNNNNNNNNNNNNNNNNNNNNNNNNNNNNNNNNNNNNNNNNNNNNNNNNNNNNNNNNNNNNNNNNNNNNNNNNNNNNNNNNNNNNNNNNNNNNNNNNNNNNNNNNNNNNNNNNNNNNNNNNNNNNNNNNNNNNNNNNNNNNNNNNNNNNNNNNNNNNNNNNNNNNNNNNNNNNNNNNNNNNNNNNNNNNNNNNNNNNNNNNNNNNNNNNNNNNNNNNNNNNNNNNNNNNNNNNNNNNNNNNNNNNNNNNNNNNNNNNNNNNNNNNNNNNNNNAGCCCUCAUUUGACAAAACUAACAAUUGAAUUUAUGGGCCUGCCUAUCACACAAACAUGCCCAACUCUGAGCUAAAUUAAACGGACAAAUCAAUUGAGGCCCAAAGUCAAAAAUGGACGAUACCAAAAUCCGAGACAAAUCAACAAACAAUUAUACUACACUAGAACAUGUAUUUAACUGUUAACCUAAAUAUAGAAUUAUUCAAAUUAACAAUCAAACACAAACCAACAAUCAGAAAAAACCUAAUAGGGAACUACGAAGAGAACAGAAUUAUCCAUUAAGGCAGAGGAUGAUAGGACAUAAGUGUAUCGAUCUUCAAACCUGUGGGCGACGAUUUGACUGGGUUCCAGUGGUUUUGAAAUGAACUAAGACUAACAUUAAUUAGUUUUUCUUGUUAAGAAGAAUUAACCAAUGUGAAUUUUAGGUCAAAAUAAAUAAAUUCACCAAAGAAAUUCAAAAAAGGAAAAUUUGGGUUUCUAGGAUUUCUGAGAUUUGAAAUCUAGGGAAUUCUAGUGAGAAUUGGGAAAUGAAUCUGGGAUGUUUUGAAAUAGGAGGGGAUGUGGAGUGUAGGGUAAAAUUUUGGGAUGGUUUGGAGAUUGUCUGCUGCCGUGAGAUGAUUUCUUGAAGGCGGCGGGCGGUGGGAAUUUGAGAGAGGUAAGAGAUAGAGAGACUAAUAAUUUGGGGGUGAAUUUUGAGAUAUUUUUAUUAUAAUAGGGUCUUAGUUAGGAGCCGUCAAAUCAAAAUGUACGAUCGAAAUCACUUGACACUCAAACGGUGACGUUUGAUUUAAAUGGGAGCUAGACCAGAUUUUUAGGUCUAGGCUGGGACAUGCAUGAAGGGAAACUGGGCCAUUGGAGCUUUUGGCCCAGUUAUAAACAAGACUAACACUUCUUUAAUUCUUUAUUUUAUUUUUUAAAAUUUUAAAAAAAUAUAGUCAAAUUAAUUAAACACCAAAACUAAUUUCUAAAUCAAAUAUAAAUUAAAAUUAAUCCUAAUUACUUAUUUUUUAUCAUUUGAACACUAGAUUAAUUCAAAACUAAUGAAAUAAAAUUACUAAUUUAAAGCUAAUAUGUGAAAUAGAGUUAUUUAUGUGAUUGUUUCAAUAAUGAAAGUAACUUAUGCAAUUAAAUUCGAAAUGCAAUUAAGGCCUAAAAAUGAUAUGUAAUGAAAAUUUGGAUAUUUUUUGGUAUCUAUGAUUUAAAAAGCACAUGAAAAAUGCAACUAAAUACAAACAAUUAAUUAAUAAAAAUUUCUACAAAUUCUAUUAAAAUUAAAAACAAUUAAGGAAAAAAGUAUUUGUGAAUUUUGUAGGAGUAUUUUAGUCUGGAAAAAGUUACCUGCUGACAAAUACUAUUGAUUUCCAAUCCCUGGCAACUGCGCGAAAAUAUGACGAGCGCAAAACACAAUACGAAAUUGAUGCUCGCUAGCCAAGGAUGGUAUAGUUUAAUAUUCGUCCUCACAAGGAUUGAAUUUAAAUAAUGUUCAGGUAAUUUCUAGCUUAACCCAAUUCAGGAUGAUUAACACUUUGGUUGGGAUGAUUAAUAACUAAAAUAAACUACGAAAACUAAUGCAAUUAAUAAUUGAUCACAGAAAGACAAGAGUUGAGCAAUACUGAAAUAAUCAAUGAGAGAAAUAAGGAUCGUAGCAGGAUAGGUGCAAGAUAGCUAUUCGGGUCUAGCUCUAGUUCAAUUCACUAUGAUAUUCUAAUGAUUCUUAUGAAUUCACUCGAUGAUCAAUUCAAAGAUGUAGCCAAGUCUCCUCUCGAUUAAAUCUUAACUCUACGAGGUGAACUAAUACAAUACCCUGUGAAAAAUAUGCAAAACCUCGUUUAAUGGAUUAGUCCUUAGAAAAACAUCUCUCGAAAAUUUUCUAACUUGAUUUAAUUAAUAAUUCAACAAGCUCAUUUGAUUACUUAGCAGAAUCACUAGAUUAAACCAAAUAAAAUAACACGAAGAUAAACACCAAAAUAUUCCUGUUCCGAUUAAAUAAAGUGGUUACUAAAAUUUCAUUCAAUUAAAAGCUCCAUAAAUGAAUUCAUGCAAAGAACUAGAGUUAAAUCUACAAAGUUAAAUCAAAUACCAUAUUUAUCAAACUCUACGGUAAACUACUCUAUAAUCAUGGAGAAAAUAGCCAUAAACAAAGUUGAAUAAUAAAAAACAUGAAUUCAAACUAACAUCGGGUGUUGAAUUAAGGAAAGAAUGAUGAAUUCUUGUAUUUUGAGUAUUCAAUGCUAUUCCCAUCUUCUGUAAGUCAAAAAUCCUCUAAAAAUUAUGCUUUUGGUGUAUUUACACCAUGUUAGAACGAGCACAAACGAAACUAUCCUUUUCAAGCCGAAGUGGAAAAUUUUGGAAACUAUUUUGUACUAGCUCCCCGCGCACGAAGCAUGGUAGUUUAUUUUUUCCAGAGUAAGUAUUUUUCUUAAUUUUCUAAAUCCAAACUUGGUCCUCGAACCUCGAACACAAUCCCAGCUUAAUUCUUUAGGUUUCUACUCAGAAUUCAGAGCUUCAAUUCAUUCAUCUUAGCUCUAAACUUUCUUCUCAACUCGAAAUCGCAUUCUACACCAAUAUUUUAAAAUGGCGAGGCCUAAGGUGAGGUGUUUUACCUCUAAUGAAGUGAUGCGUAAGUCCUAAGACAUGGGCGUAAGUCCCAUUGAUCUUUAAAUUUACUAAUUUCAACAAUUUUAAGAUUAUAAAAUAAAAAAUAAUUAUUAAAAUUGUAUUUAAAUCAUAAAAUUAUAACAUAUAAUCUGUUUAAAAAAUUUAUAAAUUAUAAUUCAACUAUUAAUGAUACAAAAAGUAUGACAUAUGUAAUAUGUAAAAUAGUUGCAAUAUCGUUACAACUCAAACAUCAAAAGUAAUGUAUUUGAUGCGAAAUCUUAUACUUAUCUCUUAAGGAUUAAGGAAUCUUGAAAGAAUUUCGAUAUUAUACUUUGAAUUUUUUUUAAAUACUUCUUUUAUCUAAUGUGUUUUCUAUUUGAAAGAGAACUUGUAUAAAAACACAAUUCACAAUAAAUAUAAUUCUCUAGCAUAGUUUCAACAAGUACAAGUUAAUAAAGUGACAUAUAAUUCACCAUACUAUACCAUGAUAACUAAUUAUUUGUAAAUAAUUACUAGCUAAUACUGAGCUAUUAAACUAGUAAGUGUUACUUUGUAAACGUAAAAAAAGAAAAAUUAAGAAAAAAAUUUCAAAACUUUUUUGGGCUAUUAUAUAAUAAAGGCAUAAAAAAAAGUUAAUAAUUAAAUACUUUUUAAAUGAUAGAUUUAAUCUAAAUUUACUAUGAUAGAAAUUUUAGUGGAUGCCGUACAAUGAUUUUUAUUUAUUACGACAUAAAAUACUCUCAACUUAAUGAUUUAUAAUUAUGAAAAAGUAAUUUUGAAUAUUCAACGAUUUAUUAAGAAAAUUUGAGGAUUUAGAAAGUUAGUUCCACACAAUUGCGUAAAGUUCUAGUAGGCAAGCCCAAUACGCUGGGUGUUGGAUGUGUAUGGGGCAUAAGCACCCACGACCGGGGCGUAAGUCUUACGGAACUAAGCCCUACAUACAAGUUCAAGGGUGUUUACGAGUGCUCCAUCCCUGGGCGAGUUCCGGACGAGUCCUAAUUCUACCUUUUAAGACAGAAUCCUAUACAACAUAGCCACUUAUUGAAAUAAGAUUUGAACAAUUUAGAUCAAGUGAUGAAAAACUAAUAAAUCAGAAGUCAGAUGCUAUUUUCUAGAUUAAUUGGAAUCAUUUAAACAAGGUCGAGGUCUAUUAAGUUUUGUAACCAUUGCGGCCAAAGAGGUUCCACAUCCAAAAAUUAGAGCUAUGCAGGGUCGAUAAUCUUCAAAGAGACUUUCUGCAAGUUGGAGGCUGCAAGUUAAGAUGAAUAGUAAAAGAGAUGGUUGUAGGAUCAAGGUUGUGAAAGAGACACGUGUCACAUAGCGACUAGGGAGCGUUGAGAAUUAAUGACAAUAUUGAACAUGUCUCUACAAGGGACUUGUAUAAACUGCAGUUCUUUCCAAGCAAAAGCAAAGCCUUAAAAGGGCAUAGGAAAACAGGCUAGCGAGUGCUUUAGUUUAAACUCGUCAUUAAAAACAUGGCUUCUAAACCAGGCAUUCUAACAGAAUGGCCAUGGACAUGGCUUGGGAACUUCAAGGUAUAUACGUACUCAUCUUCCUUCUCAUGUCUUCUCUUGAAUUUUCCAUCUGAUUUAUUCUCACUUUAUAGUCCAAAUAUCUAUGUAUACUAAACUAAAGACGCGGCAUUGCAGCAAGUGAAGGAUGGUGUUGUCAGUUGAACACCUUUCGUAGGAAAAUAAGACCGUGUAUAUAGGCCAAAUUCUACUUUUGUAUAUUGGCCAAAAUUUUGAAUACUUGAGCAUCCUUAAUGAAAUUCGGAAUUUCGCCAAUGCUAAAUUAUACAGUAAAACAUAUAUGGUUAAGUAGUUGGAUUUUAAGAAACUAUCUUCUUAUUUUCUCUCACUGUUGCUAAAAAACCUAUUCCUUGAAUAUAUCCAAUAAGCAAGACAAAUAUGUAGCAAUCGUGCAUAUUGUACAGUGUAGGAAUAAAAAUAAUAUUACAAUCUGAUAACUACUUCAAGAAUUAAUUAUAUCACACUUUUUUCUCAAUAUCUCAAAUUUAAUUUGAAAAUUAGUUAUUCUCUACCACUUGUACCAAAAGAGCCCCAAUUAUUUUGGCAGUCUACCUUUGUAGUGGGAUUUUAAUUCUAACACAUUAAAAUUCUGUGCCACUUAUGGAGGACUGCACGUUAUGAAGGCCCCCAAAGAUGCACCUAACAAUAAACAAGAACCUGAGAGCAACAAAGAACUGCAUGUUAAAUUCCAUUUGAUUACAAAAAUAAAUAAAUAAAGGCAAUAGUGUAGAAAAAAAUGAAAGAGCAAUAUAAUUGGCUAUUUGUGACUCUUUAAAUGGGUCUACGUAUAUAGGUAGUGACAAAACUUCAAGUUCUUAACAUAGAAAAUAAAUGGAGUAGCUAAUAGCUCAUGAUUUUUUAAGAAUAAUAAAUUUAAAUAGUCGUUCAUCCGACCGCUUAGACUAAAAAUAAGCAACAUAUACAUAUAAUAUUUGUAUAUCCACAUAUAAUAUGUAUAUCCUGUUAAAUCUUUGUGUACCGCCUAAAAAAAAUAAAAAGUGAAUAUGGCUGAUUAUUUCUCCCUUAACAACAUAUAAACAAAAGUGCAAUUAUUAUGUUAGAUGGUUAAUUUAAUCCAUAUUUUCUAUGCCACUUUGCACCAAUAUAACAAUGGAAAAAAACCAUGUAUUAAUGCCUUAUAACGUUAUUUCUGUGUUUUGGCAGCUGUGAUUCAUCCAUUUGCAGAGCAUAUAUCAUACUUCUUGCUAUUUGCCAUACCACUUCUCACAAGUGUGCUAACUGGGACUACUUCAAUAGUUUCAUUCUGUGGAUAUAUUACUUAUAUUGAUUUUAUGAACAACAUGGGCCAUUGCAACUUUGAGAUAAUUCCAAAAUGGAUGUUCUCCAGCUUUCCUCCUCUCAAAUACUUGAUGUAUACACCCUCGUAAGUCUCUUAUUCCUCUAUUGAUAAUAUGGUUGUCUUAUCUUUUUUAUAUAUCUUCAUUUGGUGCAUCAAUAUAUUCUCCUUUAUUUGUCCAACUUCUGUAUUCACGUAGCUAGCAAUGUUUCUUUGGAAAUUUAGGAAGAUCUUAAGCAUUAAAAAAUUGACAGAUAGCAAGUCUAAACUAGCCCUUAUGAGUUUGUAAAAUCAAUAUUAUAGUCUCAGAAAGUAGAAUAUAUAUCAACGUAGAUUUUUGAAUUAAAAAUUACUCGAGGAAAGACGAACUUUAUUAAAAUAAAAGUUUUUAAAUUUCCGUAAAGAAUUAAUUGAAUCACAUAAGAAAUUUUUUAUUUUGCAUCUCACACAAGUGACAUUAGUUGUGUAAGGUUUUGAAUUGUUUCACAGCAAAGUGGAUCAAUUCUUACACAUUUAGGUCCAAUUUAUUAUGAGACAAAACAAAGUCCUGCACAAAUAAUGUCAGCUUUGUGAUCCACAUAAUAAAGUUAGGUUCUAGCUUCCAACUUUCUCAAAAAUUUUAUUUUCCUUCGGCUAAUUGUAGUUAUUUAAUUGCACAGGUACCAUUCACUCCAUCACACACAAUUUAGAACAAACUAUUCACUUUUCAUGCCAAUGUACGAUUACAUCUACGAUACGCUGGACAAAUCUUCAGACACAUUAUACGAAAAAUCAGUCGAAAGGCAAGGCAAAUCGCCAGAUGUAGUGCACCUAACACACCUAACAACCCCAGAAUCCAUUUACCAUCUCAGGCUAGGAUUUGCUUCUUUAGCCUCAGAACCUUACACUUCUAAGUGGUAUUUUUGGUUAAUGUGGCCUGUUACAUUGUGGUCUAUGAUGGUUACUUGGAUUUAUGGUCACACAUUUACUGUUGAGAGAAAUGUGUUCAAAAGUCUGAAUUUGGAAACUUGGGCAAUCCCAAAAUAUCGCAUACAAGUAAGUAUUUGUAAUAUUUAUCGACAUUUUCACUAUGUUCACUAUUGAAGUAUUUAUUUAUUUUUGGCCUAUUUUUGGUUUCAGUAUUUUAUGCAAUGGCAAAGAGAGACGAUUAACAAUUUAAUUGAGGAAGCUAUCAUGGAAGCAGACCGAAAAGGCAUAAAAGUGUUGAGCCUUGGACUCUUAAAUCAGGCGAGUAACAUACUCCUUUUUUGUAAUUCAUGUGGCAAUAUCAAUCUUUUUGAGUGUCAGGAAUCUGAAUUUGCAAACUUGGGCGAUCCCAAAAUAUCGCAUACAAGUAAGUAUUUAUCCUAAUAUUUAACGACAUUUUCACUAUGUUCACUUUUCAAGUAUUUAUUUAUUUUUAGCCUAUUUCUUGAUUUGGUUCCAGUAUUUUAUGCAAUGGCAAAGAGAGAUGAUUAACAAUUUAAUUGAGGAAGCUAUCAUGGAAGCAGACCGAAAAGGCAUAAAAGUGUUGAGCCUUGGACUCUUAAAUCAUGCGAGUAACAUGCUCCUUUUUUUGCAUUUUAUGUGGCAAUAUCAAUCUUUUUGAAAGUCAAUCAGGUUCUUUUUUACCAUGCCUUUGGAAAAUAUUUUAAAAAUAAUUUAAAUUAUUAACUAUUAUGGUUAUAGUACUAUUUUUGUAAUUUCUACAUAAAUUUAUAUCCGAAUUCACACAAAAGAUAGAGUACUUUUACCCUCCUACCACGAACCUUACCAUUAAGGAACAUAGGAAGUGUUAAGGACCUGUUUGAUCGUAGAUUUUGUUAAGUUUUUUCCAAAUAUUUUUGGCAAAAUCUAUUUAUUUAUAUAUUUAUCCAAAUUUUGGCAAAUUUUGAAAACAAAAUUCCCAAAUCCUAAAACUAGCUCUACACCUGUUUUUGGCCCAAAAUAUACCUUUGAAUUUUUUAACAAUUUAAAAAAUUACCCCAAACUUUUAUAUAUUAUAAAAAGCACACCAUCUAUUAUGACGCAACUAAUCCAUCAGCUGGUUACUAUCAUUUUUUUCUAGAACGGUUGGAUAUUGUAAUAUUAUUACAAUUUGAAAAUCUAUGGUCAAACGCUAGCUACGAUUCAAAUAAUGCCUAUUUGUACUUUUUACUUUCAGAAAUUUAAUUUCUAUGUGAUAGUCAGCUCUGAUGCCUCUAUACAUGAAAUUUUACAGGAGGAGCAACUGAAUAAUAAUGGUGAGCUUUACAUAAGAAGGCAUCCUGAGCUCAAAGUGAAGGUGGUUGAUGGAAGUAGCCUAGCUGUUGCUGUGGCCCUAAACUCUAUUCCUAAAGGAACUACACAAGUGGUCCUUGGAGGCCAUUUGUCGAAAGUUGCAAAUGCCAUUGCCCUUGCCUUAUGCCAAGGGGGAGUCAAGGUCUCUUUAAUUGUAAAAAUCAAACACUUUAUUUGCUCACAUAGUGUCCUUUUUCUCAUUUAUUUUGAUUGUGAUAGGUCGUGACAUUGAGAGAAGAAGAGUACAAGAAGCUCAAAUCAAGUCUUACACCCGAAGUCGCAACUAAUUUGGUUCCCUCAAAAACAUAUGCUUCAAAGGUACAAAUAACAAAAAACAAUGAAAUUAGAUUGUUAAUCUUGAUUAUUUAUUAAUGAGUUUAAGUUACCAUCGGUCUAAGAAUUUUCUACACCAGUAGAUCAUUUUUAUCUAUUAUAGGUGGUAGCUUGUUUUAUUUUCAAGAUUAUAGAUCUUACAUUUUACGAAAGCUCACCUAUAUAUAAAUAUUACCUUUAGAUAACAACGUAUAUGACUUAAACUCUUUGUUAAAAAUAAAACCUCGAUUUAUACUAUUUGAAACCCCACCUUCACUCCCGCCCAAAAAAAAAAGUAAAAUAAGAAGAACAAAGAGAAAAAAAAAGAUUUGAAAAUAAAGAAAGUUACUGCACUUAACAAAGCAUUGAAUUGCAGAUAUGGCUAGUAGGUGAUGGAUUGAGAGAAGAUGAACAAUUGAAAGCACCAAAAGGCACAUUAUUCAUUCCCUUUUCACAAUUCCCGCCAAGGAAAGCUCGCAAGGACUGCCUCUACUUUCACACACCAGCCAUGAUCACUCCAAAACACUUUGAAAACGUGGACUCCUGUGAGGUAAUAAUAUUCUAAAUUCCCUUUGUUUUUUCUUCUUUUUUCAGUUUCACUAAAAAAAAAUCAAUUUUUUCUUUUAAUAAAACAAUAGAAUUGGCUUCCAAGAAGAGUGAUGAGCGCAUGGCGAGUAGCUGGAAUAUUGCACGCACUGGAAGGCUGGAAUGAGCACGAGUGUGGGAACAUGAAGUUUGAUAUUGAGAAAGUCUGGAAAGCAAGUCUUGAUCACGGUUUUAGACCAUUGACUACGGCUUUUGCUUCUGAAUCCAAGGCUUGAGUUAGACAUUUGUGUUUGUAGUUACUAGCUUGAGUUUGGUGGCAUAUGAGCUUAUUAUUAAAAAUGCAUACUAUAUAAAGUACCAAUUUGAUGUCAAAUCUUGUUGUUCCUAUUAUAUAAGACCUUUUUCAUUUUUUUUUAAUUAUCAAUUUCGUUCUCCGAAUGUAUUAGUACUAGAUUACGUGAUCUAUUACAUAUAUAAGAUCAAGCUUUGUAAGAAAUAUAAACAAAUGAGUGGUUGAUGAAAUAUUUGUGAGUACAAAGCCAUUCACUAAAAAGAAAAAGGACUGAUUCUGCCGCUAAUUAAGUUUAAUGACGACGACAACAACAAUAACAAUAAUAACAAGUUUAAUGACGAAUUAUAAAAAUAAAUCCCGUUAGCGACGGGUUAUAUACCGAUAUGCCAAUUCCUAAUUUUUAGUGGUUGGAUAUACUAAUAUAUUAUCUUUUUAAGUUAGAGUGGAAUAGGGGAAUAGAAUUGGAUUGUCUGGUAGGUGUAGGAAGGGAAUUUUAUAAAGAUUAUGCAGGAAAAUAGUGUUGUUCUAUUGAAAGCUUUAUUCAAGAGAGAAGGCAAAGGUUCAAAAUCUUCUAUUUUAUAUGUACUAAUUUAUGUGGAGUAAAUUAUUUAAAUAGUCACUCAAUUAUCAUAAAUUAUCUUAUAAAGUUAUUUUACUUUCGUUUGUAUCAACAAAGUUACUGAACUAUGCAUCUUGCACUCAAAGGUCACUCAACUAAAUUUUUCAAAGUUCGGAUUGCCAAAUACGUAUUUUACCAUUUAAAAUAUAAACAUUUAUCUUCUUCUUAUUUUUUUUAAAAACUUUUUAAUAUCAUGAUCUUACUUUUCUAAUUUAUAUUGGACUUACCUAUAGAAUAAAUAAAUAUUAUUUAUAAAUUAAAAAAAAGUACUUAAGCUUAUAUAAUACUGGAAUAACAAAAUAAUGAGCGUAGUAAAAAAUAUUAAUUAGAAUAAUUUGUUAGUAAUAAUAAUUUAGUGUUUACAACAAAAAUACAAAAAAUUAUUUACACAAUUUAGAAUGAAAGAAAAUAAAGGUUGUAAAAUAUUUAUUUCAUGCACGUAAUAUAAAAAUAAUUAUUUAAAUAAAGGUAUUUAAUAAUAUACAUUAUAUAUUCUUGAAAAUUAUGCUCAAUUAUGAGCAUAAAAAAUAGGGUUGUUUGCUUUAGAAGAUUAUUCGCUUGCAUGGUAUACAUGUUUCUAUCAUCUCAGAUGGUGGUACUCAAUUUAUAUCUUACUUUUGGAGAGUAGUUCAGUGUGAUGUGGUCACGCGGGUGGACUUAAGUACUCUUUUCACCCUCAAACAAACGGGUAGUCUGAGUAGAGCAUUCAGAUCUUGAAGGAUAUGUUGAGGACCUGUGUAUUUGAUUUUGGAGGAUAUUGGGAUCAGCUUCUAACUUUGGCAGAAUUUGCCUACAACUACAACUACCAUUCUAGUAUCUACGCGGAUCUAUAUGAGGCAUUAUAUGGGAGGAGAUGUCGCUCUCUGAUUGGUUAGUUCAAGUGUGGUAAGGCUAGGUUAUUUGGCUAAGAUUUGGUUCGUGUUGCUUUGGAGAAUGUGAAGUUGAUUCAGGAGAUGCUUCGCAUAGCUCAGUCUAAACAGAAGAGUUAUGUGGACCAGAAAGUUUACAAUGUGGUAUUUAUGGAGGGUGAGAAUGUUUUUCUAAGAGUUUAGCCUAUGAAGGGCAUGUUGAGAUUAUGGAAAAAGGGGAAUUGAGCCUUAUAUUGGUCCAUUUGAGAUGUUAGAAAGAGUUGAUGAGGUGGCCUAUAGAGAGAGCAUGAUAUGCGGAACAAUCAUCCUCAUCCUUUUGACAUUUCAUGUAUGAUUCUAAACUUGUUCGAGGAUGAAUGCUUGUUUAAGAGGUAGAGAAUGUAACGACCCAUCUAGUUGUUUUGUGUAUUUGAGCUUCAUUUCCCUAUUUGAUGCAUAUGCUUGUUUGUUGUUUUGUGACUUGAAGGGAUUGUUGGCUUAGUUUAGAAAUAUAACACUUAGUUCCACUGUUAGAAGCUUAAGUUAUGGGAGUUGACCAAGGUUUGAAUCUUGAAGAGAUGACCUCAGAUUGGUGAUUAGAGAAUACUAACGUACUUGGAAGUUCCUAGAAGUUUUUGGCACUAAUUAUAGAAAGUUAAAAAUUUGAAGGUUUAAAGAGUUCAUAUUUUUAACAAAUAGUUGACUUUGAUGAUAUUAGACUCGGAAUGUUGUUUUUGAACUUGGAAUAGAUACAAUUAAUGGAUUGGAACUUAUGCACGAAAUUUAGUUGGAAUCCGAACUAUUUAGGCAUGAUUCAUAUGUGAUUGAUGAAGUUGGAUGGUUUGAACGUCAAGAGAUGGAUUUUGGUCUUCGAUUUGUAGAUUUGAUGUUAUUCAUGAUGGUUUGGGUCUUUGGCUUAGGAUUAGGUAUUACAAAUUAUUUUUACGAUAGGACGAGGUCCGAGAAGACUUUGAGUGUGUUUCGGAUUGGUUUUGGACUAUUUGAGAAUAGUUUGGCAAUUCUGGUUGUAGUGCAUCGUACCUGUGGAAGUUUGGGUGCAAGUGCGACUACUCUGUUGCAUUUGUGGGAUUGAGGUGAUCUGGGGCUGUUUUCGUCAAUAGGGAAAGCGGGCCGUAGGUACAUAGGCACAUUUAUAGAUAUCCUAAGUGUGCCUAUGCAGAUUGACGGUCCUCGGUCAUAUGCACACAUGUGAAUAAAGUGGAAACAUUUGUGAGGUCACAUAUGGCCGGAGAUGUGAAAGGUUGGAAGCAUUAGUCAGGAUCAUAAUAUGAGCGUAUAAGUGGUGUCGUAGAUGCGACCCUUUUAUCCGUAGAUGCAUUAUCGCUGGCAGAUUUUGUUCCGCUUUAAGAUUCGUCAUGCGUUCCUAUUGUUGAUGGUUUGAGGAGAUUGAUACUUUAGGGGCCUCAAAGUUUUGCAUCAUUCUAUUUAUUAAAGUGUUAUGAAGAUGUAUCGUAAAUUGAAGCAACACUACUGGUGGUGGAGGAUUAAACAGGAAAUUAUUGUGCUUGCUUUAUCAUAUUUGAAUUACCAAUACGUAAAUUAUGAACAUUAAAAACCAGGUAUUUCAACUCAGAAAAUGGUUACUAGACUGGAAUUAGAAGCAUAUUGGAAUGGACUUCGUGGUAGGCUUACCACGUACUAUGAGAAAGUUUGAUGCCAUUUGGGUCAUUGUUGAUAGUUGACUAAGUUUGUGCACUUGAUACUAGUGUUGACAACUUAUAAUUCAAAGAGGUUGGCCCAAAUUUACAUUUGAGAGAUAGUCCGUUUGCGUGAUAUGCAUAUUUCUAUUGUUUCAGACCUGGAUACUCUGUUCAUAUAUCACUUUAGAGAGUUAUGCGGUGGGAUUUAGGUACAUAAGCUACGCUUAGCACUUCUUUUCACACGCAUAUCGAUGUAAGUUAAAGCAGACCAUUUAGAUUCUUAAGGAGCUUGUGUGAUGGAAUUUGGAGGUUACUGGGAGCAUUUCUUGCCCUUGGCAGAGCUUGCUUAACACUAUAGUCAUUAGUGUGAGUAAGUGAUUUUUGCCCUACGCAAAUUACUCCUAUAAAUUCAAACAAAAUAAUUUCUUUAAUUUUUCACUAAUUGUUUGCAUUUAUUUUGUCUGUGCAUUUUAAUUAGUGAAAAAUACAAAAUAUAUUGCAUGCACAUCUGGAAGUUGAUUUGAUCAUUUUCAAGAAUUAAAUAACAAUUAGUCGUUUUAUAAAAAAAACUCAACAACAGUUUAACUUGCUCUUUUAAUUUUAAUUUUUGAUUUUUAAGGGGUUUUCUUUUAAUUUUGUCUUAAUUUCUAAAAUAGUUAUGUAGAUUUGAUUAGUAUUCCAUCGGUAAAUUUGGGAUUUGUAAUAAAUUUAGGAUUUUUAAUAAUUAUUGAAAAUGAAAAUCAAAGAAAAAUGAAAAAAGAUAUGAAAAAGAAGUCUGGAAAAUUAAUUAAAAAAGAAGAAGAGAAAAGACUCAAUUUGGGCCAGUUUCAAUUGAAUUUCAGCCCAAAACUCCCCAUAAUCCGGUCCAGUCCACACCCUAUAUCCGGUUCAGUCCCCCCAACAAAAACAACGUCGUUUUGGGCAAAACGAUCAGACCCGUCUAUGUUUCAUAAUAUGAUGGUUGAGAAGCCGGGGUAUAAUGAUAUAAAUAUGUGCAAACGAUCCCCAUCACCCCCAAAACACCUCAUCUCCAACCUGUAUCACAGAAACCUUAACGCCACCUCCCUCCGCCAUGCGUCGCCAGCCGAAAAUCACUGCCGCCGCCAGAGGACCCCAAUCACCACCAAAUUAACACCCUGAUUUCCCUUAGCCUCCUCUAUCCAAAUCUGUAACCCGCUUCCCUCGAAUCCCACCCCAUCCUGUCAAAUAUUGGUUUCAAACAACGGCUCCUCUGCCGUGUACGGCGCCACUGCCUCUAUUCCGCCCCAAAACCACAUCAUACAGUCUCCACACCUCCUUCACUUCAGAACCAUAGCUUGUUGCCCUCGAAUGUCCCCGCAAUUCCUCAAAAUCCAGAUCUAAGGUUUCCGGAAUCCUCCAAAUGGUGCAUGUAGAUUUUCAGGGUUCGAUUUAAAAGAAUUAAGCUAAGUUUUCUAAAUUUCUUUUCUAAUUUCGUUUGGCCUCACCUCUUUCUGCUAAAUUGUUGUCAUUAGUCUGAACAUGUUUAAUUCGAAAUUGCGUCAGUCUUAUUUGCUUAAUAUCUGAGUUCAAAAUUAGAUUCAAAUUGUGUUAGUCGAGUUGGCUUUAAUCUGUUAGUUCAAGUUUUCAUAUUAAAUUGAUAAGUUUAAAUUGAUUUUGAUUCGAGUUGUGUUAGUCUCUACCAGUUGAAUUGAUGUCCAUGUUAAAAUCCAUGUGUUUAAUUAGUAUUGAUUCAAAUUAUUUUAAUCUUCUCAGUGGAUUCUUGAGCCUAAAUUAGAUUUGGUUGUAUGGUUUGCUCACAUACUCGACUAAUCAUGAUUUGCUAAUCCUAAUUUUAAGCUAAAAUUUUUGAGUGUGAUUGAAACUUAGUUUAAGUUCAAAGGUGAAAUGCAAUAACAUUUAACUAAAAGUCUUUAAAAUGGUUGUAAAUAAUUUAAAAUCAGGACAUAGGGAGAAAUUGAAAUACCCAGCGAUUGAAAGGGCAAAUGAGGGAAUAAAUCUUAGAGAAUCUUUGCAUAACAAUAAUAAAAGUUUCUAGUAGGGGGUCCCCUAUUAAUUGCAAUGCUUUAACUUGGUUAACAAGUUAAAAACUAAGGGAACUAAGUGAAAUAAAAUAUCUGAAGGUUGCCCUAAUCCUUGCCUAUAAAGGCAUUCCAACCUUGCCUUUCAAAGCAGGUUUUCAGGGCUAAAAAAAGGGAAAAUUCUGAAAAGAUUUGAAGGAUAAAAAUUCUAAAAAAACAAAGAGAUUUGAGAUCUAAAAAGUGAGAUAAUAGAAGAACAAUCAUAAAGGUCAAAUAUAAACAUUUUACUGUUCCAUUGAAACACCUGUUGAAUCCUUUUCGAAGCUUGAAUUUCUGAAAUAGUUCCUUGAUGUGUUAAAAUGAACUGGGGUAUUUGUUUAUUGAAUUCCGGCGUUGAGGUCAAUUAGGUCUGCAUUAGAUUAUUUGGUUUGAAAUUAUGUCAAAAAAAUACUCAUUUGGGUCCUGUUGGUGUUGCUACUACUAUUACUGAGAUUGCUGCCUAGCUGGCCUUCAAUCUUCCUAUUAUGUUAUGAUUUCCAGGUAUUUACUUGACCUCCAAGUCAUAUUUGAAGUUUGAAUAAGAUAAUAUUUGAUCAGGCUUGAAGAAAUGAUGAAAUUGUUACACAUUUCCCUUUUUAAUCUCGUUCAUAUCAUCUGAUACAUGUUAGAUUUGCUUAUUUUGAUUUGGUGUAUCCUCAAGUACUUGCGAACAUGUUUGUUUAAAUCUAGGCUCCAUGGAAAUUUGAAAGUGGUAUGGUCUAGAUGUAUUAUUAUUUGUAAUAAUUGGACUAUAUGGGCUCAUGAAUAUCCAUUUAGUAUUGUUAGUUUAAUUUUAAUGUUUUAAGGCAUGCUAUCAUGUUAGUUUGAACGAUAAAAAUUGAAAUGUAAUAUGGGCCUAAACCUGGUUUUAGGACCAAUGUUUGUAUUUAGUACUAAUGUUAAGUUUGAGUUUAAUAAAUGUUUGAAAUGGAUCUAUGCUUCGGUGUUUAACUUCAGUAGUUUGGCUCUAAAAUCAGAAAACUAACGAUUCUAAAUCUGUACCCAAUAAUUCAAGCAUCUCCUUUGGUUUGAAAAUAUUAAUCACUUUAGUUUGUUGUUGAAUUUCAGAAAUGAGAGUAGUAGCUCAUUAGCUUAAACAUGAUCUGAAUAAGAGUAUGAAAUUUGAUUUUUAAGCUGAGCAAGCAUCUGAUUUAAGCAAAUUUAAAUUGUUCAUUUGUUACAAAAUUGAUCAUUUGUGAGGUCCAAUUUAAAGUCAAUGUUGAUUUGGGCUCAUUUUGGGCUAAAACUAGUCAGAAUUGUUUGAAUGAAGUUCGGGGCCUCUUUUGGGCCAAUUACAAGCCCAAUAUUGAGUUCCGGCUUCAAGUAGUGGAUACGAAAUAAAAACACCAGCAAUGGCAAUUGUCUUUGUUCGAAAUUUGGGCCUAACUUGGUGGGCUCAAACUUGCUCUUCUUAUUAAAUACUAUUUGUUGGGUCAAGUCGUUCUUGUUAGGAAAAUUAGCAUCACUAUAAAUAAUUAAUUAGAAUUCAGCGAUAGUUUAAUGUUAAUUAUUUUAACCCUUUAAUUGGAAUAGGAGUUCAACUAUGCUAGAUAAAAAUAGUUCAUGGAUUUCAAGCCUUGGUCAAACGUCCUUUAAAAGAAAAAAACAAUAAAUAAGUUAAAUUGAGGUGCGCCGCGCCAAAUAAAAUCGUGAAUUGCAUGGACCUCAUGUAAUUAUGUCUUUAAACUACUUAGAAUUUUGGUGGGCCAUUUAGCAAACUUUCAUGGCCUCCCACAAAGAUAUCAACAUGCUAGUUUUUUUCGGCACAAAUUUAAUAAAGCUACUUUCUUAAACUCGGGUGGCAUCUCAUGUGAACGAAAUUCAAAUUCCAAAAUAUUGAAUAAAAUGUGUUUCGGAUCCGGGUGCAUUUCAUGUGACAUGAUCCAAAAACACGUCUUAAACUUAAAAAUUAAUUAAAAGUGAAAAAUAAUUUUAAAAUUGCACUAUUGAUUGAAACAUGUAUUAAAAUAAGAUAUUAUCGUGUAUCUUUUUCAUCUUUACCCUUUUUUCUUUUCAAUCUCGCAUCAUAUCUUUUAUUUCUUUCAUAACCUCCCUUCCACAUUAUGCCUUAAAGCUCUAGUGUAAUACAUGCACCUUUGAUGCAUACAAAAUCAUGUGAUAAUUUUAUAUUGACUUGUUACGACUCAGCUCUAUGGCAUGAUCUGGAAAUAAAAGAAGGGUAACAUUUCCUAAAUUCCUUAAAGCAUCUCAAUUAUAAAUAUGGUACGCAACUCAAUCAUAGGUUAGACUCUACAAAGCAUGGUGUAACGACCUGUUUGGUCAUUUUUUGAAUUAACUCCACGAUCCCCAACUAACUGCUUUUCUCGUGUUUGGUUCUACUAUUGUGAGUUUUUGGGAAGAUCUAUUUUAAGCUUCAGAGUGUUUUGGUAUACUUAGUCCCUAAAUGAGAGCUUAAACAUUAAAAUUUGAACCUUAGUCGCAACAAUGUGAAGACGGCCUCGGAAUGGGAUUCCGUAAUUUUUGUUAGCUUCGUUGCGUGAUUUCGGGCUUAGGGGCGUGUUCGGAUUGUGUUUUUGAGGUUCGUAGCUUAUUUAGGCUUGAAAUGCCGAAAGUUAAAUUUUUGAUGUUUCCAGAUCAAUAGUGAGAUUUUAAUAUCGGGGUCAAAAUUCGAUUUUGAAAGUUGGAAUAGCUCCUUAGUAUUGAAUGUGACUUGUGUGCAAAAUUUUGACUCAAUCAGACUUGGUUUAUUUGGUUUUGUCAUCGGGUGCAGAACUCUUAAGAUUUCAAGCUUAGUAGGCUUGGAUUGGAGGGUGAAUCAUGGUUUUAGCAUUGUUUUUUGUAAUUUGAGGAUUGUACUAAGUUCAUAUAAUAUUUUAGGAUUGGUUGGCAUGUUUGGUAGAGGUCUCGAGGGCCUUAGGUGAUUUUCGGAAGUUUAACGGAAGUUGAAUUUGGACUUAGGCUAUUCUGAAGUUUUCUACUUUUGGUAUUUUUGCACCUGCAGUGAGGAGCCCCCAUAUGCGAGUAAGUAGGUCAUAUGUUCGAUUUGAGCACUAAUGGCCAAUGAUAGCAGAUGUGGUUAUUGGAGCGAAGAAACGGAGCGCAUCUGCGAGGAAGGAGCGCAUGUGCGAUUUCUGCCCAAUUAAUGAAAUCUCACAGGUGUGAGUCCCCAACUGCAGAAGCAGAACCAAUGUUCGUCCUAUGAUUGUAGAAGUGGAAAUCAUUGGGCAGAAAUAUGAAAAUUUGAGGGUUUGAAGCUCAUAUCGCCAAAUUUGAUUUUUAGCUCGGGAGAAGACAAUUUUGUGAGAAUUUCCAAGAGGAAAUUAGUGGGUAAAGAUUCAUUAUCCCUUUAUUGUUGUAGUCCAUUAAUCUAAUCUUAGUUUUGUUAUUUAAUUUUGGAUUUGGGUGAAAAACUGAGAGAACUAAGUAAAAGUUCUCCAACUUAAAAUUAGAGUUUUGAGGGAGAUUUUGACGUCAGAUUUUGAUGAUAUUUGUUUGAGUGCACUCGUUAGUGAAUGGGUGCUCACAAUCCAUAAAUUUUAUUUGAUUCCGAGACGUAGGCCUUGUGUGUUUUUUGGGAGUUUUUCUAUUUUAUUACCUUAGCUUCGAUAACUUUAGCUAAUUAGGUAUUUAUUGUUGUAUUGAGAUUGUAAAAUUUAUUUGAUUAUAUUUGGGUCACUCAGGGUUAGAUAAUCGUGGCAAGAGUGUGACUUUGAUUAAUUUUGAGCCGGUUUAAGGUAAGUGGCUUGCCUAACCUUGUGCGGGGGAACUACCCUUAGUAUUUGGUGUUCUUAUUAUAUGAAUGUCGUGUACGUGAGGUGACGAGUGUGCAUACGUGCUAAUUGUUUGAAAACCUGAACACUACUUGCAAUUAAAAGUAUUCUGCUUAAUUUAGGAAAGCAUGCCUAAGUGCCUUAACUGUUCUACCUUCUUAAACUAUUACUUGAAUUCUGUGCACGUGAUUAGAAUAGAAAUAUCUGUUUUCUUGGUACAAACUAGGAUAGAACUUAUAUUCUUCUUGAGACUAUUGUCUGUAUACUUCGAGACUAUGGGACGAUGUCUCGGGAGAUCCCCUUGCAUGUUUACUAUUGGACUACGGAUUAGUAUUUCGGGAGAUGCCUCUGCACAUUUAUAUUUGGGACUACGAGACGACAUCUGGGGAGAUUCUUCUUGUAUUGGAUAUUGAAUUUGGGACUACGGGUUGGUAUUCUGGGAGAUCUUCUAGACAUUUACGUUUGGGACUAAUGGACGGUAUCCCAGGAGAUCCCCUAUUGCUAACUUUUUGUACUGAUUUAUAUUCCUUCCCUAAUUCUAUUCUUUAUUGACUGUUAGUAUUUUUCUUAUGUUGUCGCAUUUCAUAUUGUUUCUUUAUUUUUAUAUAUAUAACAAGUAUGGCCCUGACCUUCCUCAUCACUACUCGAUCGAGAUUAGGCUUGGCACUUACUGGAUAUUGCUGUGGUGGACUCAUGCCCUUUCCUGCACAUGUUUUUUGUGUGUAGAUCCAGGUUCUUCUUCUCAGCCUUUCUUUCAGUGAGGCGGUUGAUGUAAGAGACUUCGAUGUACAUCUACCGCGUCCGCAGAUCCAUAAUUCCCUCUCUGUUCUUCUCUUAGCUUUAGACUUCCUGUAUUUACUUUUGAUUAGACAUUCUAGAGUUAGAACACUGUGUAGUAUUUAUAGCUUGUGAUUUCAUGAGAUUCUGGGUUUUGGCAUCUUUAUUUUAGUAUCAAGAGAGUCUAUCGUAUUUUCCGAGCAGCAUUUAAAACUCUUCUAUUAUGCUUUUAACGGUAACUUGCCAGUUAUUGCAUUUUAUUUCCCUUUUCCACAAUUUGUUAGGCUUACCUAGUCAUAGAGACCGGGUUCCAUCACGGUAGUUCACGGAGGGAGAACUUGGAUCGUGACAAGUUGGUAUCAGAGCUCUAUUUUCAUAGGAUUCAUGAAUCACAAGCCGGUUUAUUAAAGUCUCGAAGAUCGGUACGGAGACGUCUGUACUUAUUUACUAGAUGCUAUAAAAUUAUUAGGAAAAUUUGACUUCAUUUGAUUUCCUUGUUGUGUGAGAUUUUGAUGUCAAAAUUUUAAACCUAUGUCUUCUAUUCUCUCACAGAUGGUGAGGACACGUGCUACUGGAGAUGACCAAGCACUCGUGCCCUCUAUUCGAGCCAUUAGAGGUCAGGGCUGGGGUAGAGGCCAAGAACGCAUAUAUGGUGCUACCAUAGCACCUACACGAGAUGCCACACAGGAGCCACCAGCCGCUCCACCUGGAGCCCAAGCACCUGAUACGCCUACUGCUACUACUACAGCACACCAAGAGACUCAUGCAUAGUUAAUGAGUAUGUACACCACUCUAGUUCAAGUAGGGUUGCUUCCCCUUACUACAACCACAUCUUAGGUAGGGGGAGGAGCACAGACUCCAGUCGCCCGCACUUCUAAGCAGCGAGUAAAGGUUAUGGAGGUCCAAAAGGUUAUACCGGUAUCGCCUACAACCCUAGUUCAUCCCAAGCAUAAGGAAGUAGCUUUAGAGGAGGAAUAGAGGAAGCUUGAGAGGUUCCAGUAGUACCAACCUCCUAUAUUCAGUGGUCUAGAAUCGGAGGAUGCCAAAGGAUUUCUAGAAGAGUGAUAUCGUAUCCUCAGCACUAUGGUUAUAUCAGGAUCGACUGAGGUUUCUUUCACUACCUUCCAGCUUCGAGGAGCAGCCUAUCAGUGCUGGCGUACUUAUAAGUUAGACACUCCAGCUGAGGCAGUUUCCCUAACAUGGACUCAGUUUUCAUAUAUGUUCCUGAGACAGUAUGUCCCUCAAAGCCUCAAGGACACCUGGCACGCAGAAUUUGAGCAUUUCUGUUAGGGUACUAUGACUAUUUCAAAAUAUGUUGUCUGUUUCACUAAAUUGACUAGGCAUGCAUACACCCACCUUUGUUCUAUGGUUUGCGAGAGAGUAAGCUAGGUUAUUGAGAGGCUUAUUCCCAUCAUAAGAUCUAGCAUGGACCUAGAGUUGGAGAUAGAUAUUUCGUAUCAGCAAGUGGUGAGCAUUGCUAGGAGAGUAGAGGGUAUGCAUGCUCGGGAUAGAGAGGAGAGGGAGGCCAAGAGGUCUCGAGAGUAGGGACAUUAUUUUGGUGCCUCUAGCUACAGUUCGUCAUGUUAAGGGUUAUAUGAGUCGGUUCAUCCAUCUCUUCUACCAGCCAGUAGUAUUCCAGCUCCUCCUAGACCUCAAGAUCCCUAUUGUACACCUCCAAUAUCUAGUGCGCCGCCUGCAUGGGGUGCUUUCAUUGGUCAGUCUAGCAGACAUGGCCCGAGCCAUUCACAGUCUCCAUGUUCUCCUAGAGAUUGUUUUGAGUAUUGCAACACAUGCCAUAUGGUGAGGGACUACUCCAGACUUACGAGAGGUGCACGUCCAACGACUUCUCAUCCACAGCCUGCCUCGUAGGACAUGUACAGCACCAGUUUCUACCCUAGCCACUCCACCAGCUAGAUAUGGAGGUCAGGGAGGUAGAGAUUGCCCUAGAAGGGGAGGCCAUGCUAGAUAUUAUGACUUUCCUGCUCGUACUGAGCCUAUCGCUUCUGAUUCUAUCAUCACGGGUAUUGUUCUAGUUUGUCAUAGAGAUGCAUUGGUUUCAUUCGAUCUGUUCUCCACUUAUUCUUAUGUGUCCUCUUAUUUUGCCCCGUAUUUGGGUGUAUCUCGGGAUUCUUUGAGUUCCCCUAUUUAUACUUCUACUAAUAUUUAAGAUUCUCUUGUUCUGGACCAUGUUUAUCGGUCGUGUUUGAUUUCUCUUAGUCGUUUCAAGACAAGAGCCGAUUUAUUAUUGCUCAGUAUGGUAGAUUUUGAUGUUAUCUUGGUCAUGGACUUGUUGUCACCCCAUUAUGCUAUUCUUGAUUGUCGCGCCAAAGACGUGACGAUGGUUGUGCUAGGUGUACCGCGAGUAGAGUGGAUGGGUACCUUAGAUCACACUUCCAUUAGAAUUAUUUCAUUCCCGAAGGCUCAUCGAAUAUUUGAGAAGGGGUCUGACGCGUAUCUAGCUUAUGAGAGAGAUUUCAGUAUUGAUACCCCUGCAGUUGACUCUGUCCUAGUAGUACGAGAUUUCCUUGAUGUAUUUCCAACUGAUCUUCUAGGUAUGCCACCCGAAUGAGAUAUUGGUUUUGUCAUCAAUUUGUUGUAGGACACUCAUCCCAUUUCUAUUCCUCCUUAUCGUAUGGCUCCUCCUAAGUUGAAGAAGUUAAAGAAACAUUUGCAGGAAUUGCUUGACAAGGGUUUAUUCAGCCCAAUGUAUCACCUUAGGGGUGCUCCUAUCUUGUUUGUGAAGAUAAAUUAUGGUUCUAUGCAUAUGUGCAUUAAUUAUCAGUUUAACAAAGUUACAGUGAAGAACUGAUGUCCUUUACCUCGUAUAGAUGAUCUGUUCGACUAGUUGCAGGGUACACAAAGGUUUUUGAAGAUUGACUUGAACUUAGGUUAUCAUCAGUUGAAGAUUCAGGAUAUAGAUAUCUCGAAGAUGACCUUCAAGAUUGAGUAUGGUCAUUUCGAAUUCCUUAUUAUGUCAUUGGGUUGACCAAUGCCCCAGCAACCUUUAUACAUUUGAUGCAUAGUAUAUUCUGGCCAUAUCUUGAAUCGUUCGUCAUGGUCUUUAUCGAUGACAUUUUCGUAUUCUCUCGUAGUUCAAAAGAUCAUGAGCAGCACCUGAGGACAGUGCUUCAAACUUUGGGGGAAAAAAAGUUAUAUGCGAAGUUCUUGAAAUGUGAGUUCUGGUUGGAUUCUGUGGCGUUCUUGGGUCGCGUAGUAUCAAGUGAAGGGAUCAAGGUGGAUGCAAGAAAGUGGAAGAAGUGCAGAGUUGUCCUCGACCGUCCUCAGCUAUAGAGAUCUGUAAUUUUCUUGGCAUGGUGGGUUAUUACCAUUGUUUUGUUGAGGGAUUUUCAUCUAUUGCAACACAUAUGACCAAGCUGACCCAGAAGGUUGCUUCGUUCUAGUGGAUGGAAGAGUGUGAGAAGAGCUUGUGGACGCUCAAGAAUGCUUUGACUACAGCCCAGUUCUGAUAUUGCCUAUAGGUUUGGGGUCUUAUACUGUCUAUUGUGAUGCCUCAAGGAUUGGCCUUGGAGCGAUAUUGACGCAGGAUGGUAGGGCGAUUUCCUACGCGUCUAGAUAGCUGAAAGUGCAUAAGAAGAAUUAUUAUGUCAAUGAUCUCAAGUUAGUUGCAAUUGUUCACGCCUUGAAGGUUCGGCGCCAUUAUUUGUACGAAGUGCCUUGUGAGAUUUAUACUAAUCAUCGGAGUUUGCAACAUCUCUUUAAGCAUAAGGACCUUAAUUUGCGCCAAGAGAGGUGGUUAAAGAUGCUGAAGGACUAUGAUAUCACUAUCUUGUAUCACCCGGGCAAGGCCAAUGUAGUGGCCGAUGCCUUAGUGACAUUGUAUCACCCGGGCAAGGCCAAUAUAGUGGCCAAUGCCUUGAGUCACCAAGCGGAGUGUAUCGUGCUUCAUAAGGUGUGAAUUUCUUAAUUAGUUAGUAUAUGGCUUGCUUUUUUCUCCUUAUCUCGUAUUAUCCCAGAACAUAUCUGAAGGCUCCAUAUAAUAUAGGUAGAUAGAGUACCUAAGGUUUACCUGGCUCUGGCCGGAUCAAAAGCGGUGGUGUGGACAGGUAUUUCUCGAUUUUGUUGAAAGCUUUAGACAAUCCCCGGUCCAUCUUGUUUCCGAAUCUUUCCUCAACAUUUUGAAGAUAAGCACAUAUAAAUGUGGACUGUUCUAUGAAGCGAUUGAUAUAAUUGAGAUGUCUUAGGAAGCUCAUUACAUCCUUUUUUCUCCUAAGCGGCAGUAACUCUUUAAUAGACUUAACUUUAGACGGACCCAAAUUGAUUAUUCGACGAUUGAUACUGAAUCCUAGUAGCUUUCCUGCAAGAACCCCAAAUGCACACUUUGUGUUUUUUCAAUUUUAAGUUGUACCUCCUUAACCUAUCAAAGAACUUUCUCAUGUUCGCUAUCUUAUCUGCGUCCCUCUUGGAUUUGAUAAUGGCGUCGUCCACAUAUGCCUCUAUUUCUUUGUGUAUCAUAUCAUUGAAGAUGGUUGUAAUGGCUCUAAUGUAUGUAGCCCCAGUAUUCUUUAGACCGAAUAGGAUCAUCUUGUAGCAUUAUACCCACUAUGGUGUAAUAAAAGUUGUUUUCUUGGCAUCUUCUUCGUCCAUCCAGAUUUGGUGAUAACCAACAAAGAAAUCUACAAUGGAUUGAAGUUCAUGCUUGGAACAAUUGUCGAUCCGGAUGUGUAUAUUUGGCAGUGGAAAGUCAUCCUUGGGACUUGCUCAGUUUAAGUCUCGGUAGUCAACACAUUCUGACUUUCCCAUCUUUCUUGGGAGCUAGUAAAAUGUUUGCUAACCACGUUGGGUAUUCAAUCACCCUAAGGAAUUUGGCUUAGAUCUGCUAUGUAACUUCCUCCUUGAUUUUCAAACUCAUAUCUUGUUUGAAUUUUUUGAGUUUCUGCUUCACUAGCUAACACAUGGGAUUGGUAGCAACUUGUGAGCUCCUAUGGAUGUGCUCAAACCGCUCAUGUCAUCAUAUAACCAUGCAAAUAUAUCUUCAUACUCCUUCAGGAAAUGAAUGUAUUCUUCUUUCUCUGUCAGUGGUAAGUGAAUGCUAAUAAAAGUCUAUUUGAUAGUUUCGGUAUCUCCCAAACUUACUUCUUUGGUUUCGUCCAGAUGGUACUUAGGCUUAUUUUAAAAGUUCUCAACCUCUCAGACAAUCUCCUCAGGUAUUUCAUCUUCUUCAUCUAAGUCACUAUCCUUAUAUUGUGUUGCCUCAUUAUAUGUCACAGUCACCGAUUCAUCAGCAAAAAUAAUAAUAACACUGGAGAAAGAAAAUGUGUGGAAGAUAAUAAUGAAUAAUAAAGAGCAAUGCAUUGAUUAAAACUAAAAAUGUCCAAAUAACUGCUCGAUGAAUCGAGCAUUUAUUUUGCAGUAUUUAAACACAUACUGCAAAAUAUAAAUUCGUGUCCUAAUUUAGGAGCCUCGUUGUGCCCGAGGUAGGCCUAGCGACAAAUAGAUGGAGAAAUACAGUGCCCAUAAUAGCCUUAUUUAAUUAAUAUAAAAAUAAACGACACUAAAUAAUGUUACUAAUCGAACUUGGCUUUAUUACAUUUAAAUGAAAAGCGAGUAAAUUUAAUCUACCUGGUCCGAGAAGGACCCUCCCCAUACCGAAGGCUAUUGUAGAUUAAUCUCCCACGUCAAGCAGGUUCGGCAGUAAGAAACUUUGUGCCUCAUUUUUCUGCAAAACAAAAGGUGGUUAGGCCUUUUCCCCCCAUCAAGAUUCGUCUAUUUAUACAAUAAUGAUUAGCAUAUUGGCACUUAUUUCUCUAAAUUAAUGCACACAGUCGUGAUUGCAUCCAUUGGGAUUAUGGAAAACCGGGCAGACUUUUGGACGAGGCUUUAUUUUCAAAGGGUUAUUAUAGGGACAUCAUAUUAACCUAGCUAGGCUUGACCAAGAUGCAUGCACAAGUAAUCAGAGUAAGGUUGCUAUAGAAGUCUAGAUUGGGACCCUCAAGCGGACAACUUAAGGGAGAAAGGCACGAAACCAUUGACUACACCGCUGAUCGACUAGUUUUACCGCAAAUAUGCCUUUCUUAAUUUAAGGGAAUUAAUUGGAAGAGCGCAACCAUUCAUCAAGUGUUGCUAUAGGAUUUGUUAGGCACAAAUGGAAUAUGAUGUGGAGCAUAAGUUAUGCAACAACAAAUAUCAUGUUGUCAAAUAUUUGCACAUUAAAAAACGGUAAGUGUAGUAUCAAAAUAAUUGAAAGACAGUUACGGAGAAAGAAAACAAAGAGAUAAAUCAAUUUCAGGAGAUGGAGAAAAUCAUAAAUAAGUUGUUAAAUCGAAGUAAAGGGGAGGAUGCACGGGAUAAAGCAUGUUUAAGACUAAAUCAAAAAUAAGUUUGUUAUGGUAAGAGACUAAAAUAUCACCAGUAGAGCCGCCAUGUUGUCGGGCCCUAUUUUUUCUUCGCAGGGAAGUCUGGGUUUCGACAUUCAUGGGGCAACAACUCGCUUCCUUUUGGGAAUUGAGUGUUUGAAGAGUCGCCAUCUAAUGGAUUAAGGUGCAUUAGGGAACUUAGAGAAAUUAACUCAUGUAACCAGUUUGCACUGCCAGAGAUUAGGGUAAGGGCAUGAAAUAACCUUGAGUGAAAGAUGUUAAGCACUCCUUGCGGCUCACAAUGAUGGGUCCCAAUCGAACUUAACUAUGUGAAUUAGUCAAUUAACAAGUAAGCAGUCCCAAUACAUAUUUGCAAAUAAAGGUAGUGUACAUAGUCUAAAUAUUAUGAUCAAGGAGGUUUAGAUAGUUUAAACACAUAUAUGUAAAGAAAAAUAAGUUUAGAUAGAUUAAACAAAUAUGAAUUGGGAAACAGAAGUCCUAAGUUGAUUAGCGUAUAGGAUCAAUCUCUGCAAUGCCCGGUAAUCCUCCUCAACUAGAUGGGCUACAUGUGAUAUUAGCGUAGGUCAUCAUAUCCUUUUACUAACCAUUACCCCUCCCCCCUUAGCGGUUAUGAACGAUUUUAAUAAACGAACUCUAAGCGUGCUUUACCUAUCCCUUCCUUGUGGUCCCCAAGGAGUUUAGGACCUCUAGACUUGGGCAAUUCUAGACAAUCCUAAGGUGUUUAAAAGGCAAAAGUCUAGGCGACAACAAAUAACAUACAGGACUGUCAAUGAAGGAAUCAGAUAAAAGGCUCAUGUUUACCUCAACAUAUACAUAAGGCAAAUAAGCAGCACGUCUCAAACAACUUAUUGAAAAUAAAUUUAGAAAGAAUAGGAACAUGAUAUCUAAAUGAACAUUACAUAACAGAACAUGUAGUGUCUGUUUCAAGGGAAGUGGCUUAAUCCUAACCAGUUUGCCUACUGGUUUUAUGGCAUGUUAUGCCUGGACAAUUUCACACAUAAACAGAAUCUAAUUUCACAGUUCUCUAAUGGUUAAGGCUUGCCUAGGGAUAUAUAUGCAGUCAUAAUCUGGGAACCACUUAAAUUAUUUAAAGUUCUUUAAUCCUAUUGGCAUGCUGAUCUAAGUGAUGAAUAUUAUAGCAGGUAAUUUUAUAUUGAUUCAUGCCAGAACAUGGUACUAUGUGUGGGGUUGUUUUAACCUACUUAUUUUAACGACAUGUUUCAAAGUAUAUGUACAUGCAGUCACAAGAUAUGAUCUCUAAUGCACAUGGAGAAGGUUAUUAUAUUUUAAACAAUAUUAGUAACUUAAUGGUAGUAUUUCUAAGUGAUACCGACCUAUGCAGAGUUAGAAGUAAAAUGAUGAACUAUAACAUAUGAUAUGCAUAAGAAAUAAAUAUGAUUGUCCUAAGUCAAGGUAUCUAAUGCACAAAUUUUGUAUGAUUUAAUGCGAGUAAGCAUAGAAAUCCUAAAUCAUGAUAUCUAAUGCGUCAUACAAACCUAAAACAUGAUAUCUACAUCAACUCAUCAUAAUGUAAAACCUGAAACAUGGUUUCUAACCAAUUUAUCCCAUAGAAUCAUAUAAAUGCCCUCCCUAUUCUACUAUUUACCCCAAUAUUGAUUUAUAAAGGAUUAUUACAAACCGGGAUUUAGUAAAUUACUUCAAUGAGAAGUAAACUUCUAUAAUAGAGAGCUUGAAGAAGGCCCUAAACAAAUCUAGGAGUACAAGGCCUUUAGAGUAGUCGCAAAUUCCCGGAAUUCUUACAGCCAACAAGUGUCCAGGUGUAUCAGAGUUUCCUAUGGACCUCAAGGAUAUCGGGAAGUGCUCACACCAAGACCUUUCUCAAAAUAAGGACAGGUUAUGUGCAGUGUGGAAGGGUCACUUCUAGCAUGCCAGAGUUCAGAGAGAUCUCAAGGAUACCUAAGCAGUACACAUACCAGAGGGGCAGAACUUAAUAAUAUAAAAGUAAAGUGCGAGUUAUUGACACAGUUUGAAAGGUUUGGUGAAAACAGUAUAGGGAUGACUCUAAGAAUUAAAAUAUUUUCUAAAAUAGAACUAGUUUUGUCACAACCCCGAUUCGCCCUCCAUGAACAAUCGUGAGACUCUAAUAAACCGAUCAGUUACACAGCCUUUUGUAGAUAAGUAUAGACAUCUCCGUACCAAUCAAUAAGUCUCUUAUAAACCCGCUUAUGAUUCAUUACUCUUAUGAACUUAGAGCUAUGAUAUCCACUUAUCACACCCCGUAUCGCCCUCCAUGAACCAUCAUGACGGCACCUAUUCUAUACGACUAAGUAAGCCUAACAAUGUGCAAAAUAAACAAAUUUGCAAAAGAAAUAAUUAAAACCAAAAUAAUAAGAUAAUACAAUGUUUAAAAGUGCCGCUCGGUACACAAUAACAACUCUCGAAACUAAUACAUUUCCAAAAAUCCGGAAGUUUAUGAAACCACAAGCUUUUGGAUGUCUUCAAGUAUCCAACUCCAGAAUGUCUAACAUCACAGAAGGGAAAAUGUUUAAAUAAAGAAUAAAGAGGGUCUAUUUGAUCUAUGGACGCGGAAGAUAUACCUCGAAGUCUCUAGAACAGUCGCCUAGACUUAAGGGUGAUAGGACUGAGUCAAAGUACCUGGAUGUGCAUAUGAAAAAGAUACACAGAAAGGGAAUGAGUACACCAUAACGGUACUCAAUAAGUGCCAAGCCUAACCUUUGUCGGGUAGUGACGAGGGAGGUUAGAUCCUUACUGAGGUUAAAUAAAAUAUAAUGUAUGAUAGUGUAGAAAAAGAAUAUAAUUGAGUGCAACAGUAAGAAAUAACCCAAUAGAAUAACAACAACAACUAGAGCAGAGACAAGAAAUCAUGGAAAGAAAAUACAGCCCAACACAGAGAUAACUACCGGGGAUCUCUCAAGAUACCGUCCUGUAGUCCCAAUCACAACUAUUCCGUGGAUCUCCUGGGAUACCAUCCUUUAGUCCAUCAUAUAUAUCCGGAGGAUCUCCCUAGACCUCGUCCCAUAGUCCAAUUGUCAAUGUGCGGGGAUCUACCGUAAUCCCGAUCCAUAGUCACCAAUGUAAAUACUAGGGGAACCUACCGGGUGUAGUCCCAUCAUUCCAUAUAAGUGUGCAGGGGGAUCUACCGGAAUCCUACAUUUGUAGUCUCAUAUAAACAAACAAGGGGGAUCUACCGGAAUCCUACAUCCUUAGUCCCAAACAAACAUACAAGGGGGAUCUACCAAAAUCCCACGUCCGUAGUCCCAAUAUAAAUACACAAUAGCAACAUGAAGAGUAUUCAUAAAUUGUCCACUUCAUACCAAGGCAAACAACUAUUACCAGACUAGCAUGCUGCAUAGAUUUCUGGUAAAUAUUUUGAGCAAGUGAAGCAAUUAAAUCACUUAGACAUGCUUCCCUAAGCUAAUAACAUGCUUAAAUUUCAAGUAGCAAUAACAGGAGAAGAAAACACAAUUUUAAUUACUUAGGAAAAUCGAAUUUUCAACAAUUGGCACAAGUAUGCACUUGUCACCUCACGUACAAGUCAUUUCAAAUAUCAACAAUACCAUAUCCUAAAGGGAAUUCCCAUGCACAAGGUUAGGCAAGCCAUUUACCUCGAACCGGCUGAAAGUCAACCCAAAACUACGUCUUUGCCAUGAGUAAUUAACCCCAAAUGGCCCAAAUCUAUUCAAUUCAAUUGCACAAUGUAAACUAUACUUCGAGUGACUAAUUCUACAAAUAAAUUCUAAGCUAAUACGUGAAAUAAGAUAAAAUGACCAAAAUGCCCCUCGGGCUCACGUCUUGAAAUCAGGCACAACUUAAGCUUUCAGAAUCAUCAUACGCUCACGUGUAUAUACAUAUCAACAAUACCAAAAUCGGAGUUUAAUUGACCCCUCAAAUACCCACAUUAAGGUCUCUUAAUCUCAAGCCCUUGUUACCCAUUUUGCAUUGAUUUUCCCUAAUUUUUCACCUUUAAUCACAUAUAACAAGUUAUGAAGUCAAGAAUUACCUCCAAGUGAUUCCCCCUUUGGUUUCCUUAAAAAUAUCCAUCAGAAGCUUCAAUCCUGUUAAAAAUUGUGAAAGAAUAACUCAAUUUACGAAGGCAAUUAUUUAUAUGAUCUGCCCAGCUAAUCCACUUCUGUGCUCCUGCUUUUGCAGAAUUAAAGUCGUUUCUGAGACAAAUUACUAGAUACUGGCUUUUCUCACCUGUGAAUCCCUAUGCGCAGAUGCAGUACCGCUUCUGCGGCUCCUGCUGCUUCUCACCCUUUCCGCUUCUACGGUGAUAUGUCCCUUCUAUGGACUCGCACAUGCGCUCCCCAAGUCUUAGGUGCGGUUUAUGACAGCUGCCUUGAGACUUUAGCUGCAACUCACAACUCCAAAUAUUUUUAUCAAACAUCCAAAAUCAUCCCGAGGUCCCCAAGACUCAACCAAAACCACGAACAAGUCAUAUGCCCCUAUCCCAACUUACCAAAUCUCCACAACACCUCAAACAACCAAUUAGCAUCGGAUUCAAGCCUAAGAACUUCAAAACUCUCAAAGUACGCUUUCUAUGAAAAAUCCUAUCAAACCUUGUCUGAAUGACUUGAGACUUUGCACACAUGUCACAUUCAACACUAUGAAACUACUCCAAAUUCCGGAAUUCCAUUCCAACCCUCGGAUAAAAAUCUUACUAUCGAACCACAAACUUCAAAAAUUCAACCUUCGAUAUUUCAAGCCUAAAUUAGUUAUGGAUUAAUAAACAUAUCUCACACCACGGUAAAGUGAUUAUGGACACAUAAAAUUUACAUAUUUAAAGAGAACACAUGAUAGGGCUCAAGGAGGCAUAUAGUCAACAAAAUGCAUAGGACACUUAGAAGCUUAUAAAAUUAACAUGUUAGUUAUGAUGGUAGGCAAUAGAGUCAUGUUGAAAGCAAAGAUACACUGGACAGAAUCAAACACAUAACUAGAGUCAAUCGAAUGCCUUAAAGAUUAGGUAACUACCAUGAUAUCCUCACACAAGGAGACUAGACAAGGGUGAAUAGAUAUGGUGGACAAACAUAAAAAUGGAUAACUAUAGUUUGUGCAUGCUAAUUACAUAUUGAAAGGAGGAGACAUAGCUAAGUAAGGCAGUAAACAAGAACAUGAAUUGAAUCUAUAACUAAUGAGCUAGCACUAAAUUGAACACAUAGAGUUUAGGUUUCAAAAUUUAACUAAGACAUACCAGCCAGGUAAGAGUAAUGCAAAAUUUUAAAGAAACAGGUGCAAUUCCACUAUCUAGCCUUGGCUUUCAGCCGGCUAGACCCACAAAGCACAAGUAGCAAAGAAGGAGAAGAGUUCGAAUGUAUAUGUGUGUUAUGAACCGAUGUUCGUGUGUAAUGAAAUUAAAUAAGAGAGUUUAUAUGGUACUUCAAGAGUAGAGCAAAUAAGGUAAAAGAAUCAACUUCAGUUUCAAGGGAAGAUCUUAGAAUCAAUUACACAAAAAAUCAACAUAGUCUUUCCUUAACUAAGGGUAAUUAACCAACGAUUAUGGCAGGAAAUAUUUAAGGCAAGAAAUUCAAAUCAGAAUUAGGGAAAGAGUGAAUAACUAGGAAUCUAUAUAAGGAAAUAAAUGUCCAACGAAUCAGUAGAAAUUACAGGCAAUUUGAAUAAGACAAGAAGACUAAUAAAGUCAUAAACAAGAAUAAUCAAGAAUCAUGCACAUGAAAUUUUAAACAAAGCGAAUCACUCAACAAUUCUGCAAAGAAUAUAUCAAUUUCCAUGAACAAAAUAGGUUGAGCAAAACAUUAGGAACAUAGAGAAAUUCGACAAAAAAUAAGUUAAAAAAAAUCUAAUAUAGAUUAAUUGGGAUAAAAAUCUCAAAACAAGGAAUUCGACUAAGGAAAAGCAUGUAAAUCAAAAUAGAGAAUGAACCAAUGUGACUAGUAACUUUGCAAGGCUCAGAAUCAAAGCAAAGCAUCAAACAGUUAGUCUUAACAUAAACCAACAAGGGCUUAUGCAAUUUUAGCAUAAAUCAGUCAUGUAAGAACAAAUGAUUAAGCAUUCAAAAAAUUAGAAAACCUUUUGAAAAGGUGACAUAGGGUAAAUCAUAGUUUAGGGAAAACGUGAAAUCAAUUGAAAACCAGAAAACUUUCAAGGAAAACAUGUAAGAUAUGUUCGAUUCAUCUGGGAUCUAUACAUAUCUGAGAAGAUCGGAGAUAAAAAUUAGGGGUUUUUAGAAUUCAUGAUAGAGACGAGAACAUAGGCCUAGAAAAUCAUGAAUCCAUAGCAAAAUAAGAGGGUUUUGUUAGUCAUGCUUGAGAAAACAACCUGAAACAAAUAAAGAAAUUGAAUGUGCAAAAGCAAACCGCCUAGGUCCCUUGAGAUCUUCUCAAGGAUCUAAGAAAUUGAUGAACCGUAGCAAGUAGGAGGCUAGCAUAUGCCUGAGACGUCAAAGAAAUAUUGUAAAAUGGAGGGCUAAGCCGGUAACGACAUCUAGAUUAGGGUUCAGAUAGAGAGCAUGUGAGAGAGAGUGGAAAGGGUGACAACGAGGUAUGGUGGAAAUGAAUUAGGUUUGUUACAUCUUGCAUUUUAGUACGUUAAAAGUUUUUUCUUCGAUUAAGCAACGUGAACUUGAGGAUGAUAUCAUCUUGACAAAUUCAUAUUUAUGUUAUUUUUAACAAUCAAUAAAUAAGUGUUAUAAAGGAUAAAGGGUUACACUGAUUAAAGAAAAUGAGUUUCGUUGAAAAUGGCAAAUUGAAAAAAAAUACGGGUCAAGCGAUAAUACCCGAUAAUUAUGAACUAGUACCAUUCAAGGUGCCAUAAGUAUAAUGUGUAAAGUAUAUACAUGAAGUAUUUAAAAAAUAAAUACAAUAUUAAAUAAUUUGUGCUAAUAUUUAAUUUAUGUGGGUAAUUAAUUAAUUACCGAGUAACAUGACAUUACCCAGUUAAUUAAUAAGUGGAUAAAAUUAUAAAUUAUACCACCCUCCCAUGUAGCACAAGGCCACUAAUUAGGAAGCAUGAUUCAUUAAUACAUGUAUAGAUGUCUUGAAAAUAUGUCUUAAAUAAGACUUGUAAAGUCUUAACCAGAAAGACAAGAACAUGUAAAGUUAAAAGUAAGUCUUAAGUAAGAAAUGAUAGGAAGUUAAGUCCAGAAUAUUCUCUCCAAUUUCUCUAAUGCCUCCAACACCCAACUCUUCAGCUACCCCACCCCCCAAACCACUGGAUAACAACCCUUCACUAAUCCCAUGGAGACCAAUUCCAUGGCAAAAGAACCUAUCCUCUUUAAGGAUAAGCUUCUCAACAAAGAUAUGAGCUUUAAUAUUGAUAUAACCUCUGAUCCACCACCUCCACAACAAGCCCAUAUGAACUUCCACUACGAAACAGACACCACAAGCGAACCACUAAACCCUUACCGGGAGUAUAACAUAUCAGUUCCUAUUAUAUUUAAAGACAAACAAAGAAUCUACCAUCCCUAGAGGUACUCUUUAAUCAUUAAGUUACAAAUUAAUGGGAAAAGAAACACACAUGAUUUGUUGAAAAAGAAACUUAUAGACCUUUGAAAACCGUUAGAAAAUUUCCCAUUAAUUGAUCUAGGAGAAGAAUACUAUAUUGUUCGAUUCAGCAAAGAAGAGAACAUGGCUAAUUAUUUCAAAAAGGUCCAUGGUUUAUCUAUGGUCACUUCUUCUCAAUCCAAUGAUGGAUUCUAAACUUUGUAGCAUCUAAAGCAAUAUUGUCCUUUACUGCAAUCUGGAUUAGACUUCCCCAACUUCCAACUGAAUUUUAUGAUAAGGAAAUACUACAAAAAGUGGGAAGCUCAAUAGGAAGACUCUUGAAAGUUGAUAUUUGUAUGUCGGCAGCCCUCUGAGGGAGAUAUGCUCGUCUAUGUGUGGAACUCCCUCUAAACAAACCUGUCACUCAUUUCAUCUUUGUAAGUUCUCACAAACAACAUAUACACUACGAAGAUGGUAAACUCCUAUGUACAACAUGUGGUCACUUAGUCCAUGUAACAUCUCAAUGUAACCAACCCAAGACCAUCCGAAGGCAGGAACCACACUAUAAGGAACUGGAAACACCCCAACCUGGGCAAACCAAGCUUGUAGGAUUAUGGCAAACAAUCCCUUUUCACAGAGGUAAACGAAGGGAUCCCUCAAAAAGUGCCUUAAAAUUGCAAGAGAAUAAAUAAGAACCAGGUAUUAGCAUUAAUAUUUUUGAAGCCAAGUCUGGUAAAUUUCUCUCUUUUUGAAGCCAAGUCUGGUAAAUUUCUCUCCUCCCAAAAAUUUUGCUACAAAACUAGAACUCACCAGUUGCAAUCUUCCAAAAACUGCAAAACAAUCUCUCGCACAAACCCUAGCAAAAACUCAAGUAAUUUCCAUCUAUUGGAAAAAGCUAACUUAGAUGAUAAUUACUCUCAUAACAUUACUAACAAUCUUAGUAAAAGCAUUACCAAUAUUAAUUAUGAUAGUCUUUCCCCAAACCACACGAAAAAGUCCAUUGAUAAUAUCGAACAUUCUGAUAUCUCUAAUAAGGAUAUUACUAAUGAAAUAUUAGAUAUUGUUAUGGGCCAACCUAAUACCCCACACACUCAUCCACCCACCCUACCAGUUACAUACACCUUCCCUCUCACCCAAUCAAGCCCUAUUAACUCCCAUAAUACUACACUACCAAGCAGCACAACCACCACUAAUGAAGACCCUACUAAUCCACCCAUUAAAACCCAUCUAAUGUGUAACACUACCCUAACCAAUUCCAUUCCCUUGCAUGCAGCAUCUGACAGGAAACAUCUGUCAUGCAAGAACCAAGCCAAUGAACAAAUGGCUAUUGACAUCUCCCACAUAAAGACACCCCAUCCCAAUCCACUCCUGAACCAAAAAAUCUCUAUUAAAUACACGCAAAACCAGUCAGUUUGCAUGUAAGGAAAUAAUUCAAUCAUUGAGAUCCUAGGAAACAUUAGUUCUACUAGUGCUUCAGUACCAUCAUCCCCAUUAAAUUGUCCAAAUCCUCAAAAAUUCCCAGAAUCCCAAUCUCAGCAAGAAAACGCCACCGUCUCUUUCAACUCCAAAGAAUAACUCUCAACUAAAUAUUGAACAGAAUCUCCCUUAAAAUCAUCAGAAUCAAAAUCAAAACAAUCAACUAAGAAGGAUUCUAAUUUAACCUCCCAUUCCUCAUAACCACCAACCAUUAUCUUGGAAGGAGAUGGGGCUUCUAGUCCAUGCACUCUCUUUCUAUAUCACAUCGGAGGGGAGGAAAACAGUGAUAGUGAUCCAGAAUUCUCACUAGAUUGCCCAACUAAUCUCUGAAGGAGUUCGCAUGGCAAUGAACAACUACAUCAACCAAGUAUGAUUGAAAAACAUCCUGAACCCCAUAACCCCAACUCUCACCACCAACAAACUUCAAUCCAUGAGGGGUGACUAAAACAUGCCUCUCAAUUUCUUCCCAAUCCAGAACCCAACUCCGACGGUAGAUCUCCCUUUCUUCACCCCGGAAUGCCUAUCCACCAUGAAUCCAGUUUUCACCCUUUGGAAUGCCCAUGCAACUCAUCCCCUACCUCCAGUUGUAUAAGAUAUCCCAUCCAUGCAAACCCCUCAUUCCCAUGCUCAAAACCAAAUGGAGCAGGCAAUGGAAGAAUAAAUCUAUCUUAUAAAAUUGAUCCCCCAAAACGUGGUCGUGGAUUCAAACCUAGACGAGGUAAAAAUAUUUCUAUUUAUGGAGAGGAAAUAGCAAAAGAAAAUUCUUUACUGUCCAAUGGCACUAUACAAUUUUAUAAUGAACAUAAGAUCUCCAAUAGACCCUACCGUAGGAAAACACGCAAUGCUCCUCGUUCUUUUCAAAGGAGGAAACCCAUCUUUCCAAGGAGGAUAAGGUAGAAUGGAGAUCUGAACAACCCAUUAUUUAAUAUGAAUAGAUCGACCACUUUGAUCAUUUGGAACAUAAGAUAGGGUAACAACGACAAGUUUAAGCCAAGCUUCAAGAAUCUAAUAGAUACUCAUCACCCUAGUAUGGUAACUCUUCUGGAAACCAAGAUGGACAUCUAUCUUCCUCACCUCAGUCCCUUGGAUUCUCAAAUAUGAUUGAGAUUCCAACAGAGAGGCAGUUAGGUGGUAUGGUUAUAUUAUGGGAUCACACUAAGGUCAUGGUUCAUAGCUUUAUUCGUUGAAUCCAAGAAAUUAGUGCCAUUAUUGAGGUAUUUUCCCUUAACAAAACAUGGUAUUUCACUUCGAUUUAUGCUAGUACUGAUAGUAAAUUUAGAAAUAUUAUGUGGAACAAUCUACUAGACAUGCAUAGUGAAAUUAGAGAUCCUUGGGUGGUAGGGGUGAUUUUAAUGAUGUCUUAAACUCCGAUGAGAAAUUAGGUGGUAGAAAAAUUAGUCAAAAUAGAUCUAAGGUCCUAUGGGAUUUUAUCAACUAUUAUAACCUAAUUGAUCUAGGUUUUAAAGGUCCUAAUUUUACUUUGUCUAAUAAAAGAAAAAAAAAACAAAAGCCCCAUACUGGAAAGAUUAGAUACGGUGUUUGCGAAUAAGGAAUAGAUCAAUCUAUUUCCGGAAGCUUAUAUUACCCAUCUUCCUAGGAUUCACUCGGACCAUAAUCCCCUAUUGAUUACUUGUAACCCAAAAAAAUGUACCUCCUUAAAACAAUCUUUUUGACUAGAAACCUUUUGGUGGCAUCACCCGGACAUUAUAAAUCUAGUUAGAAAUAGUUAGAGCAACCCCAGCUAUAUCCAUAGCUCCCAAAACUUUACAGGAAAUAUUACCCAGUUGAGUAGGAAGCAUUUUGGAGAUAUUCACCUUAAGAAAUCUGGGAUUAUUGCUAGACUAAAUGGCAUUCAACACUAUAAUAACCAUCAAUCUAAUUUUAUUUACAGAAUUUAGAGUCUAAACUUCAACAAGAAUAUAGAGAUAUUUAUAAAUUAGAAGAUGAGUACUGGAAAAUUAGAGCCAGAAUAUCAUGGGUUCAAGAAGGUGACACGAGCACACAAUUCUUCCAUAUUAAUGCAACAAAUAGAGCUAGGAAAAAAAUCAUAUAUUUCAAAGACAAAUUUGGUAAAUGGAUCAACGAACCUAGAAAAAUUUUAGAUCACACUCUCAACUACUGUGAGAAUGCCUUCAAAACUGACCACUUAGCUUCUAAUUGGUCACUUAUAAAAAAUAAUCCUAAAGGUUUUAAUAAUAUUGAUCUAUCUAUCCUUGAUGAUCACCUAUCUAAUGGUGAAAUUUACAAGACAAUCUUUUCCUUUAAUGCUUUUAAAUAUCCAGGACCAGAUCGUUUGCAUCCCUUUUUCUACCAAAAACAUUGUAACAUUAUAGGUAAAUUAGUUAUAAAUCUUUGUACUCAUGUUUUUAAUACUCAAUCUGUACCUCCAUGAUAUCAACAACACAUAAAUUUUUCUAAUCCUCAAAGUCUCCAAUGCCAAUAACCUCAUAAAUUUUAGACUCAUAGGACUUUGUUAUACUAUUUAUAAAAUCAUUACAAAAAUCAUUUCUAAUCGAAUUCAACCUUUUCUCAACAAAAUCAUAAGCCCUUUCCAAUCUAGUUUCAUAAAAGGGAGAAGGUCUCCUGAUAAUGCAAUCAUAAGACGAGAAUUGAUGUGCCAGUGUAAAAAAAUUGAGAGAGAAAGGGAAGCAUGAUUCUAAAAUUAGAUCUAGGAAAAGUUUUCGAUAUAUUAGAAUGGUCAUUCAUCCACUUAACCCUUUCUUACUUCAAAUUCCAUACUAAGAUAAAAAAUCUCAUUACGAAUUAUAUCAGUACUUCUAAAAUUAUCAUUUUAGUAAAUGGUACGACAACCUCUUUCUAUGCACCAAGAAGGGGUAUCAGACAAGGCUGCCCCCUAUCCCCCUUAUUGAUUUUAUGUAUGAAAAUGCUAUCUCGUCAAAUCUGCCACCAAGUAAAUAUCAAUCUUUAGGACCAUAUUUGCCUAAGCAACCAUCACAUUAGUAUCUCCCACUUGUUCUUCGUAAAAGAUCAUACUCUAAUGGAAAAAGCUGAUUAAAAAAACCUCAAAACAAUCAAAGAAUGCCUUAAUACCUUUUGCAAUAUGUCUAGUCAAAACAUCAAUUGCGGAAAUCAUAGAUCAUGUUCUCUCAUAAUUGUCCUAUCCAUGUCAGCAAAGAAAUUGCCUCAGAAUUUAAUAUCAAUACAGCUAAUAAGUUUGGUAAUUAUCCAAAAUUUUCAAUCCUUUAACAAUGCCCCCAAAGCAAUUGAAAACCAAUUCAUUAUCGAUACAAUGCGGGCUAAACUUUCAAAUUGGAAAAUAAGUUUUCUAAACAUAGAAGAUAGGACUACCUUUGCCCUUGCUACCUUCAAUUCUAUUCCAAAUCAUGUCGUGCAGUACACAUUGUUCCCCAAAAAAACUCUUAAGCAUAUUGAUCAAAUCCAAAGGAAUUUUAUUUGGGACACUACAUCAAAUUAAAAAAAACUUUACCUUACUAAUUGGAACACUGUUACCAAGCCCAAAGCUAUAGAAGGUCUAGGAAUGAAAGAUGCUCUAUCAAAAAAUAAAGUCUUACGCAGUAGUCUCUCUUGAAGACUUAUUAAUAAGACCUCCUCACCCUAGACAAACCUCCUAAUCCGCAAAUAUUGUAAGAAAAAUUUGAUACACACCUCCUUCAGAUGGAAAAGUGUUGUUACUGUCUGGAAAACUUGUAAACAAGGUAUCCAAUGGCUUCCUGACAAAAACUCUAAUCUUAACAGUUGGGAAACCCAAUGGAUCCCUCAACUCCCUACAAUUAGAGCUUGCAUUGAGGGUCUUUUAAAUUGUAAUGAAGUUACCCUUCCUAUUAAGGAAUUAUAUCACAAAGGAAGACGGAAUUUUCAAAAAACAUCCCUUGUUAUUCCUCCUUCAAUCAUGGAAAAAAUUAACUUUACCCUUUACUCCUCCAAAACUUAGACAAACCCCUUUCGACUCAGCCGAAAACGGGCUAUUAAUACAAAAUUUUGCUACAAAUUAUUAAACCAAGGGGACAUUGGUAAUCAAGACUUUGAGUGGAUAUGAAAAAUGCCUUACCCUAAUAAAAUUAAAUAUUUUCUUUUUGCAAAUCCUCCACAAUAAGAUUCCUUUCCGUUCAUAUUUCCAUCAUAUUGGAAUCUAUAUAAACCUCAAUUGCCCUAAUUGCAAAGACCAAGAGGAAACCAUCACUUAUAUUUUUCUCACAUGCCCCAUCGUCUUAGCUAUAUGGAGUUAGAUUAACAUCAAAAAUAUGAUCACUAAUCAAGAUAAUCAUUGUCUAACCAAGCUGAAAGACAACAUCAACCCAAUCCCCCUAAAAAUUCCUUGGAGUAAUCUUCUACCUUUCCUCCUAUGGGGAAUCUGGAUCAAUAGAAAUAACAAUAUUAAUAACACCCAUUAUUCCCCUCAUAUGAAACAUAUUUGUAAUCUAGCCUUUGAAAUCCUUUUUUUCAAUUCCACUGGAUCAACAAUUAAAUCCAUCAUUGUGAUAAAAUCGUAAACCCCCCCCCCCC
rnacentral:lncRNA from 1 species